CAGAGCAAUUCUGCCAGGAGCAGAGCAACCUCAGUGAUGGAAACCACAGAAGAGGGGAAGCUCAACAGUGUGGAAGAUCUGACACUUAUGGACUUCCUUCAAAACCUAACUGAGAAGCAAUGGAGGGGAUUCGUGAGGGCGUGUUUGACCCGCUGACAAAACAACAGCUUGCCGGCUUGUGUCUGAGGAUUGACCAGUUUUUAUCGGACAAGCUGAUGCAGAUCAUCAUCCCAGUGCUUUACGAACUACUGGGCAUCCAAGAUGCUGCCUCCUCUCAAUUGUCACAGAGAUCUCUCACAGCGUCACUCACCAGCCUGUUAGACGAUAAGGCUAAAACCAAAUCCCGAGUGAGAUUUACUGAGGCUGGUGUACCUAAGAGGCCAGGCAGUCGAAAGUCUUACAAUAGCUUUCGCAUCCCGACUCCCUACCCUUCCUCCAACUAUGGAGAAAAAAGAGGAAGAAGAGCAGGAAUCACAACAACUUAAGUUCAAGGAGUUUUACCUGACUAAGGAGAUGGGCAGUCUGGGCAGUGGAAGCUACCUGCCCAAGGGGCCAUGAGGUCUCAAACCUCUCUGUCUGAGGUGCAGAAGAAACAAACCAACUCUGAGUCCUACAUGUCCUUUUAGGUCUCUCAGAGGACACCCUCGUCACCUGUGUGCAGGACAGCCUGCAAGGUUCUCUCCCAAACUUGCAUGCAUGUCCGAUUCUCCAUCUGGAAGUGCAGGCUCUAUGAUGCUAAUCUCUGCUGUAAUGGCAGAGUUGGCUAAAGAUGUCAAGUCGGCCGUAUCACUGGUCGUUAAGAGUGCCUCCGCAAGUCAAACCUCUCUAGUGACAUCUGGAAGAAGGGAGACUCGGAGACCAAGGUGACUGAAGCAUGGUGAGAGAGCUGGCUGCUAAACUUGAAAAAGUUGACCAAGAGAGCAAGAGUCUACAGGGCAAGUCAUGACACCAUCUCUGACACAAAGGUGUUUUGUUGACGAGAACGAACAGAGUUUGCUGGAAGUUCUGAAGGACAAGAUCACGUUUUGGCAUCGCAUGUUGGCUUCAUUGACGAUCUUGAUGCCCUGAUAAGGAAAUACGAGAGCAGCUACAAUAUUAGUGGAUCUGGUUCCUCCUGCACGUCACAUCAAGAGCAUCCAAAAACUCUCCAGCCGGCUGUUUCUAACAUCAGCAAUGCAAGCAGUGAGUGGAGUUCUUGCCAAAAAAGUCAGUAGUUUGAGCUUUCCUUGUUCAGUCGUUCAGUCUGAGUUAACAGGUGCUGUAUCAGGUCAAACAUUGUCUGGCAUUGUAAAGACAGAGUCAAUUCACCCAGUGGGCUCAGCAGCGUCAGUAGUUGUUAAGACUUUCGUGUCAGAUAUGAAGUCCUUGGCUGAAUCUGAAGAGAGUCCGCAACAGAAGAGUGCCUGUUUGCUGCUGUCAUAUCUACCACAGCAUCCAAAACAACUUGAAAGAUUAUUUCGCAAGCUUCAGCGAUGUGCCUUAAAGAGCAUUGUCACAUCUGAUGACAACAUCACAAAUGCUGAGUUUAAGGAGACAGUUCCACUUCCUUGCUUAGACAUAAAUAUAGGCCCAGUAAGAGUGAGCCUCAGUUGCCAGAGUCCACUGGUGAAGUUACUUUACAAAGAGGCUAAGUGAGAGCUCAAAACUUCUUUGGGCACAAACUGACUCAGAAGAAAGCAAGCUCCUUCUGACAACUUGCACCAAAGAAGUAUCUCAGAGCUUCUGGUCUUGUACAACACUGAGAUGUCAAAGGAGGACCCCUGUACACUGUUGGAGAAAAGAAUCAGACUUCUCUAUUGAGAGACACAAUUUGUAGAGUGUUCUGGCUCAGCUUGGGAUAUCUCCCAUUCCAGGGCCUCAUCAUCAAUAGUAUGUGAGUUCCCUCUCAAAUUGAGGACAGCAGAAGUAAUGCCACAGCUUCUUUGACCAGUCUGUUAAAUUGCAUGAAAAAACUCUCAAGUGAGGAAUUCAAGAGAAACGCCACUCAAGCAGUGAGUGAGUUCCUAGUUGAAAAUCCACCAGUAGCUUAACUAGUGCAAAGCCUGCUUAUUCUGUAGCGCCAGGUCUGGUUCCAUUCAAAACCGGUACACAUGGUCAAAGGAUAUUUGUGCAGAUUUGCUGUGCCUUUGGCAUCAUUGACACAUUUGUGGAAGACCUGCAGAGCUUGGCGCAACCUGCAGAAGUAGAGGAGAGAAACCUGACCUCCAGGAAAAAGCCAAAAAGCUACAGAGCAGGAUCUGGUCAGCUACCACUAGUUAUAUAACAAUAUUAAGAAGACAUUAAAGGACUUCACCAUUCACCAGCGGAGGUCAGACAUGCUGAGCAGAAUGUCCAUCAUAACCCACAGAGGACUCUGGACAUCUUGUGACUGAGGAGUAUCUUGGUUUGGCAAGCCAGAACUUGACACAAGCUAGUAAGAGUGUGCCUCACUUGCCCAGUUUGAACCAGGAAGUGGCUUUACACAGGGGUGUCAGCGAGAGUUCAAAACUUCUCUGGACUGAAACGGACGAGGCUCUACUGACCAAUAGUACCAAAGAGGUCAUUUCAACAAUCUUGACCUCAUGCGAGGAUCAGACAUCAAAUGCACCUUGCUUCUCCACAGUAGGAAAGAAAAUAUCUGAUAUGUCGCUUGAGGUCAACGUGUUGGUAGGUGGUGUUCUGUCUCAGCUGAAUAACAUCUCCUUGUCAAGGUCCCCAACACCAUGUGAAGACAUGUUUGAACGUCUCCAAGAUUCUCCUGAGCGAACCUCUCCAGUAAGUCUAGAUUGCAGCA